UUUAUUGGUAUUUUUUAGAAAAACCUGCCUAUAUAUUUCUUACCAGUGGCAGUGUCUACUCAAAUUUUAGACCAUACAACCCAUGCCAAGACAAGCCUUGCAUGGAGCUACCACUGCAUGUUCUAUACUUUGCAACAAAUGAAUGCAGGUAAAUAGUGAGUCAUUGGAGAGAGUUGCUUUACUCCCUAUGGAAUACAAGCAAGGGACUAGAAAUAUUACUGAGGGGAAACUGUUCAGAGAGCUUUCUUAACUGCCAGUUGCUGGGGAGCUAAAAUCUGAACAGUACAGAGCUCUUGGGCUGUCUCUCUGAAAGCAUGAGACAGAAGAUCUGCAAUAUUCAGAGAGGAGAAAUUACAGGUAAGUAAUUUGCUUUUGUAGUACUGCAAUUUAAGGAUGGAUGAAGUAAGGCAUUUGAUCCCAUUGAUUAAAAUCUGUAUACAAAUUUUGGAAUAAACCUGUGUGUUCU